GCGGUUCGGCGCGCUUCCUGGUGUCACCCGCAGAGGGCGCCGGCCGCCGAGCCGCCCGCAGAGUCGCGAGGCCGGAAGGAGCGCGGCGCCGCCCCACUCGCCCCAGCCGCCGCCAUGAAAGCCGUGGUGCAGCGCGUCACCCGGGCCAGCGUCACAGUUGGAGGAGAGCAAAUAAGUGCUAUUGGGCGGGGCAUCUGUGUGUUGCUGGGUAUUUCUCUGGAAGAUACACAGAAGGACCUGGAGCACAUGGUCAGAAAGAUUUUAAACCUGCGCGUGUUUGAGGAUGAGAGCGGGAAACACUGGUCGAAGAGUGUGAUGGACAAACAGUACGAGGUGCUGUGCAUCAGCCAGUUCACCCUCCAGUGCGUCCUCAAGGGCAACAAGCCUGACUUCCACCUGGCAAUGCCCACGGAGCAGGCAGAGAGCUUCUACAACAGCUUCCUGGAGCAGCUGCGGAAGACAUACAGGCCGGAGCUCAUCAAAGAUGGCAAGUUUGGUGCCUACAUGCAAGUCCACAUUCAGAAUGAUGGACCUGUGACCAUAGAAUUGGAGUCCCCGGCUCCUGGCGCUGCUACCUCUGAUCCAAAGCAGCUGUCAAAGCUUGAAAAACAGCAGCAGAGGAAAGAAAAGACCAGAGCCAAGGGGCCUUCUGAGUCAAGCAAAGAGAGAAAUGCCCCCCGAAAAGAAGACCGCAGUGCCAGCAGUGGGGCGGAAGGCGACGUGUCUUCCGAGCGGGAGCCGUAGACUUAGGGAUGGAACUCAGCAGCUCCAGCGGGACCGUGGUCACCUGCAGCCUGCUCCUCUCAGAGCUGCCCGUCUCCUGUUCUUCCAUCCUUCAGUUCAUCCUGCCUGGCACCUACUGCACUCCCAGUGUCCCUUUCCUAAAAUUGGGCUUCAUUCUCGUCACUUCCACACCCAGGAAUGUGUCUUAAGUCCACCUCCUUGCCUUUGCUCAAGUUCAUUCCCCCAGCGAGCACAUUUUGGAGAGCCUCUUACUUGUCAGAGUUCACAAGUUCACGGAGAAGCAUAGAACUAAUUAGCAGUGUGGUUUAUUGUGGAGGUGUGGUGGGAAUGUGAGGCGGUGGAGAGGGAAGUCGGGGAGGCUCCUUGGAGGGGAGGAUCCCAGAACCAGACCUCAGAGGACAUAUGGAAAUGGGCAGAUGAGGGGCGAGGGUGGGAGCUGCCUAAGCCAGGAGAAGAGUAGCUGCAAACACUGUUGGGUGUGGGACAAGGACAGAGUUUUGGAACAGAGGUGGAGAAGAAUGGCUAAAGCGCUAGGUACAAUUUGGGGUGGGGUUGUCUGGGGAACUUCUGUAAAAUUAAAGAAGUAGGAGAGUUCUGGGUCAUAAGGGUCUGGCGUGCAACUGGGAAAUUUGGAUUUCAUUCUGGGAUGGCGGGAAACCUCUGAAACGGUUUGAAUAUACAAGUGACAUAAUCAGCUCCAGAGUUUAAGGAGAUCACGCUAGCAGCCGAGGGGAGUGAGGCUAGAACCAAUAGGCCAGUUGGGAGGGGGUAGCAGAAAUCAGAGAGGAGCGAGGUCUGGCCAUCCAUCUCGGAGCCUUCAGCUUAUAUAUAGUCUGUGGUUUCAAACCAAGUCAGUGUACAGGUGUUGACUGGCAAUAGAGGAGAACAUUCAUAAGAUGGUUUUCUGCCUUCUCUUUCCCUUCUGAAAGGGAAGUCCAUCUGUGAAAUGACCUUUAGGAUGCACACUGCCAGACACUGAGCUGUGUUACAGAGUCCGCAGUGAUACUUGGGUGCAGUGGAGCUGGUUUACAAACACAGACAGACCAAAGAGCUCAGAAAGAUUGCGUUGUGGACUCACUAAUAGUUUUACAGGGAAGGAAGCACUGGAUAAUCAAUCCUGUCAUGUCCCCUUGACUUUUCCCCUAAUCACCCCGUUUCCUUCCCUGUAACUAUGGGGCAUGACAGAGCCGUGGUCACUGGUCUUGGCUGAUUUUUCUCACACUCACGUGAAAGUGAAGCAGGAAUCAGAGGGAGGUUUUUUUCACACUCAGCCUCAUUCGUCACAAUCACAAGCCUCCCCCACCCCCUUUUCUUGGUCUGGACCUCAAGACAUGGGUUUUUAUUCAUGAACUGGAACAGUUGGUGUCAGUUAGGGAGAGUCUUCUGAAAAGUGCUGUGUGGUGUCUAAAUAAUGUUAAAUAUUCACGAAUACACAGUAACAUUUACAUGUGUAAUUUGUGGCCUUUAGAUCACAUAAAACUUCCAUUCCCACCCCUUCAGAACUUUGUGAUGAUUUGCUCAUACCAGUGGUCAGUUUUGUCAUCACAAAUACUGCUGGUGCUUCUGACUUAUAGUCUGAACAGAAACUUUCAGUCUGAGGGGUGAAGCACAGAGAGGCUCUUGAAGUUUGUUUUACAAGUAUGCUCGUUAAGUUAGUCCAGCAAUAACUCAGAAACUCACUGAGUUUUUAUUUUCAUCCUGCCAAUUUCUGUGUGAAAAUAAGUUGUGUCAUUUUUGCUUCCUUGGUUUUUCUUCAUUAACUAAAAGACUAAACCUCCUCCCUUCACCAGUGAUGUUGUGAAAGGUAGGCAGGUAAAGCCAUAAUGCUGGGUGACCGUCCUAGCAGGCUGGGGCAGGAGGGGCAAGUCUCCCCAUGUGUCUGUGGUGCUUCUUCUUAAGCCUCCCCUGCCCCCUGGGGAUCCUGUUAGAGAGACCGCCCUGGCACUCACUCCUGCCCCCUGGACCAAGGAUGAAGGACUGGCCAAUCUGAUGGCCAGGGAGUGACAGUCAUUAUAGUGGGUGGUUCCUUGGUUCAGAAGCAAAAUCCAGACCCGACAUUUUCUAUUUCUCCUCCUUGGACCAAGGGCAGCUGCCCAGCCUGCACGGUGUUUUGCUCUCUUGGCCCUACUCUGACACGGCACCAUGUGUUUUCCCUUUAGUUUUAAGAUUAUAUAAAUAAUAGCUUCUUCCCCAGUGAGUCUUGGGACUUUACAAUAAAUUUUAAAAAAUUGGAUUUUCAGACUCCCAUGAUGAACUCAAUGAAUAGAUAAGGAAUAAAUAUAUAAUCACUCAUCUCCCAGUAACCAAACCCAGCUUAACAAUGUAAACAUACACACACAAAUUCAAAUGUGUCUUGGACCUUGUAUUUUCAAAAUGGUUUUAAAAAAUUCCUAUGCCACCUAGUUGAUUUCUUUCUUGACUAUGUUAUCUACUUGCUAAUGUAUUUUAGAAAUUUAAUGUUUUGAUUUUUGAUGUAACUGUUUCUGUUACAUUACUUUGAAUCUUUGUUUUAUUUAUUGAGGGGUACUGAAUUCUACUUUUUAUAUCAGUGCAAAACAUAACUUUCUACUUGUGUUAAAUUUUGGCCUCAGAAUAAUUCCAGUAAAUUAGUCUAGUUAGUUAGAUUAGAAUAAUUCCGGUAGAAAGGUGUCCUGGACAUUAGUAUCCUGUGGCCAGUGGGCAGCUUGGGAAUGAUUUUGCCAUUUCUGUAGGCAAGAAAAACACCCGAAAGCCCCAUGCAUAGAGGAAGAGACACUAACUAUGUAUCAAAGAACAUCCUGGAGGACAUGUUCACAAUAGAAAACAGCACACAGUAAAACGGGGAAGAGGUGAAAGUGGGCGUUUCUUUCCAACAUCUCCCAAAGCUUAAGAGGCAAAAUUUCUCAUAGACUUGUAGGUAUUUAUUUUUUGCUUUUCUAAAAUCGGUGGAAAAAUUAAAAACCUGUAAUCAUGUUUAUUCUCAAGGUAUUACAGAUUGGAUAGUAUAGAACUUGGGGUAAAUCAUGCUACGGUUGACCCUUGAAACAACAUGGGUUUGAAUUCUAUGGAUCCCCUCUUAUGGAUUUUUUCAGUAUAUGUAUUAAAAAUUUUUUUGGAGAUUUGCAACAAUUUGAAAAAGUCCACAGACAACCCUGUAGCCUAGAAAUAUAAAAAAAAAAUUAAGAAAAAGUUAGGCAUGUCAUGAAUGCAUAAAAUAUAUGUAGGUACUAGUCUGUUGUAUCAGUUACUACCAUAAAAUACACAUAAAUCUAUUAUAAAAAGUUAAAAUUUAUCAAAACUUACACACACAAAUACUUAACAGACCAUAUGUGGCACCAUUUACAGUGGAGAGAAAUGUAAACAAGUGUGAAGAUGCAGUAUUAAAUGGUAACUGCAUAAAAUUAACUAUAGCGCAUGCUAUAUACUACCAUAAUAAUUUCCUAGCCACCUCCUGUUGCUAGUGCGGUGAGCUCAGGUGUUGUGCGCACCCGCUUCAAAUGUGUGACGCUUAUCAUCUCCCCAUGAGCAGUUUGUCUCUGCAGUAAAUUGCAGGUCGUAGUAAAAAGUGACCUCUCACAGUUCUUGCAUAUUUUUCAUCAUGUUUAGUGCAGUAUUCUAACCCUUGAGUAACACUGUGGGACCCAUCGAAGUGCCACUAGUGAUGCUGGGAUUGCUCCCAAGAAGCAGAGAAAAGUCAUGACGCCACAAGAAAAAGCUGAAUUGCUUGAUGUGUACCAUAGAUUAAGGUCUGAAGCUGCAGGGCACACCAUCUCAGGAUCAAUGAAUCCAGCGUAAGGAACAUUGUAAGAAAAGGAAAUUCAUGAAGCCGUUGCUGCAGCUAUGCCAGCAGGCACAGAAGCCUUGCACUUUUUGCAAAAUACCCUUUUAUCUCAUAUUGGAAAUGCAGCUUUUAUGUGGGUGCAGGAUUGCUAUAAGAAAGGCAUACCGGUAGACUCAAAGAUGAUUUGAGAAAAGAAAAGGUGAAAUCGUUAUGCGACGACUUAAAGCAAAAGGAAGGUGAAGGAUCUAAAACUAGAGUAUUGAAUGCCAGCAAAGGAUGGUUUGAUAAUUUUAGAAAGAGGUUUGGCUUUACAAAUACCAAGGUAACAGGAGAAGCAGCUUUUGCUGACCAAGAGGUAGCAGACAAGUUCCCAAACACCAUUGAGAAGAUCACUGAGGAAAAAGGAUAUCUGUCUGAACAGGUUUUUAAUGCAGACAAAGUACCCUAUUCUGGAAGAAAAUGUCCCAGAGGACAUUUAUUAGUAAGAGAAGCAGGUAUCAGGAUUUAAGGCAGGAAGGGAGAGGCUAACUGCUGUUUUGUGCAAAUGCAGUUGGGUUUAUGAUCAGGAUUGCUCUUAUCUAUAAAGCUGCGAACCCCUAGCCUUGAAAGGAAAAGAUGAACACCAGCUGCUAUCUUUUUGGUUACAUAACAAGAAGGCCUGGACCGUGAGAACCCUUUUGCUGGAUUGGUUCCGUUGAUGCUUUGUUCCUGAAGUCAGGGAGUACCUUGCCAGGAAGGGACUGCCUUUUAAAGUCUUUUUGAUGUUGGUCAAUGCCCCUGGCUACAGAACCCCAUGAGUUCAACACUGAAGGUGUCAAAGUGGCCCUGUGGUCUCCAAACACCUGGUCUCUAAUUCAGGCUCUAGAUCAGGGGAUCAUGAGGACCUUGAAGGCUCAUCACACACGGGACUGUAUGGAAAGCAUUGUCUGUGCUCUGGAAGAGAACCCCAAUAGAACAUCAAGAAGGUCUGGAAGGAUUACUCCAUUGAAGAUGCCACUGUUAUUAUAGAAAAUGCUGUGAAAGCCAUCAAGCCUGAAACAAUAAAUCCCUGCUGGAGAAAAUUGUGUCCAGAUGUUGUGCAUGACUUCACAGCAUGUACAACAGAGCCAGUCAUGGGAAUCAUGAAAGAGAUUGUGGAUAUGGUUUAAAAAAAAAAAAAAAGGUGAGUUGAGGGGGUGAAGGGUUUCAUGAUACAGAUCUUGGAGAAAUUCAAGAGCUAAUGGGCACCACAGAGGAAUUACCAGAAGACGUCUUGAGGGAGAUGAGUGUCAGGCGAUGGGGAGGAAGACCUAGAAGCAGCAGUGGCAGAAAACAAACUGUGUUAGUCUGGCAGAAGGGUUCCAGGCAUUCCUGACUGCUUUCGGCUUCUUUUAUGAGAUGGACACAAACUAAAGCAAAGAUAGAGGAAGGAUUGGUGCCAUAUAGAAAUAUUUUUAGAGAAAAGAAGAAGCAAAAAUGUCAGAAAUGAUGAGAUUUGGUGUUUCCAUGGUUAUACCGAGUGUGCGUGCCUCUCCUGCCUCCCCUUCCACCUCCUGCACCCCCUCUGCUCUGCCACCCUGGGACAGCAAGACCAGCCUCUCUUCUUCCUCCGCCGCCUGCUCUUCGUGAGGACUGCGAGGAUGGAGACCUUAGGGAUGAUCCACUUCUACUUACUGAAUAGUAAAUAAUCAUCGUGCUGUACAGUUAGUAAACUGAUGGGUUGUGUAUGUGUGUGUCCUCGUGUGAAAACCUGGCAGCCGUGCAGCAAGGACUGAUGUGUGUCAUCGUCAUCAUCGCCCACGUAUUCAUCAUGUGCAAGGCGCAUGUGGAAGCAGAGAGCGGAAGGUGAGCGAUACUAAUAUGAAAUUGAUGACACGUUUGUUCUCUUACUGUCUUAUAACCUUGCCUUCAAAGAAUUACCAUACAGUGUGCCUCUCUGUCUUAUAACUGGACAAAGUGCACACUGGCCUAUCAUCACAGGUAAGUGGUUCUUAAAACAACAGUAUUUACAGUACUGUAUUAUGAAUACGACUGUGAUACCAUAUGCCAGAAACAUUGUAUAACGAUUCAUUCAUUAGCCUAUGGGCUAGGCUCCCAUAAAGCAAUCCUACCACUGCCUCUUCGUUCUCAACGCACUUAGUAUUACACCUGUAAAUAAAUAUGAAUUUAUUUUUCACACUCUCUUUUCGUUUUUGGUGUCUGCAGUUAGUGAUGUGGAUAACGUGUACAGUGACAGUGUUUUGUGUCCUGUAGGACAGACAAUUCAUCUUGUGAACAGAUGAAAGCGUCUGGUGCCGAUAGAUACAGGACAGGACUGUGCAUGUGUUUUCUCCUCAUGAUUUUCUUAAUAACAUCGUCUUUUCUCUUGCUUUAUUGUAAGAACACAGUACGUGAUAUGUGUGGCAUACAGAAAAUGUGUGGUUUAUGUCAGCAGUAAGGCUUUGGUCAGCAGUAAGCUAUUAGUAGUUAAGUUUUUGGGGAGUCAGAGGUUCUAUGGAUUUUUCACCUGUGUAGGGGUUGGUGUCCCUAACUUCCAUGUUGUUCAAGAGUCAAACAAACAAACAAACAAAAACUAGCCAGAGAAGGGACACAGUAGUGGGGGAAGCAAACUCAAGGGCACAGUGUUUUGAAAACAGUAGAUGUGUUUUUCCUUUUCCCUGUAAAUCAAGGGCAUUGCGGCCCUGUCAUCAUUAUGGCCCUGUGGUGGGGAGAUGAGGAGAAGGUGAAUGAGCAGGAAUGAUGUAGAGAGGAUCCCCUGUCCGGCAGGAGGGAAGGUGAAGGAAAGCUUCAGCUUAGGAGAGGCAGUGGGAGAGAGAAGAGGGACAGCCGGUGGAGAAGCCCAAGGCCACACGUCGUGUUGUGGCUCCAGGCUAGAGUCCUCGGGCUGCUGGUUAGGUUGAUAGGAAAGGUGGAGGCCUGGGGGCCUGUGCUCUGGUCCCUGGUGGGAGUCCGGGCAGGAGACUGCUGUGUAGGACAGCUGUAGGUCUCUGCGAGGCUGCUGCAGCUGAGUAGAAGGGGCAGCAAGACAUGGUUAGGCAACAAGAUGCAGCAGGAGUCGGUAGAGGGUCUCACCUGCCCCAUGAGGGGUGUCGAAGAGAGGUGUGUUGGGGGUCCGUUGGGCUGACCGUGGGUCCCGGUGGAAGGAGUGAGGUGAGCCUGGCUCAGAGUAGAGUCUAAGAGAGCCAGGAGGGUCAUGACCUCAGCUCUUGAUAGCACUGCUGCUCUCAGACCCUGCAGGUCUCAACCACCAUCUCCAUGUGGCUCCCAGGGUGGGGUGUGAGGGGUCUGUAGUGCUAGUGAGGGCAGGAAUGAGGUCAGGUCAGGCAGGGGCAGGGGCUCUGGCCCCUGAGCUAUCAAGUGCUGCUCAAUGGUGUCCCCGGGGCUCAGCACCAGGUGCGGAAUCACACCAGCCACCCAGGCACAGAGACCAUUUGAGGACUCAGAUGUUCUGACACCCAGGUGAGCAGAAUUACUAGGGGUUCAAGGUUGCCCCUGCUGCUACUCAGCGGGAUGGAGUCCCGUGAGGACAUUUGGAUGGGCCCAUGAAAAUGCAGAAGCCACAUUUUCUUUGCAUAUUUAUGGAGCACUGUCUGGCUUUUUGACUGAGUGCGUGAGGCAAACCAUUUACUUAUUGGCAGUUGAAGGUGGGUGUACAGUUGGAAUUCUAACCUGAGAUGGCAGCGGAGGCCCGGUGGCUGGUGCUGACAUCCCGGCAUGGACAGAUGUGAGGGGUCCUCUGAGAGCCCACUGCCGCAGCCAGCCAAGGGCCAGGGAGGAGCUGGAUUCCCCCCCGACCUCUGGAAUUAUAGACAUGUUCUCAGAUUUGAAGACCCUAAAGGAGGCCAGGAGUAAAUGACAGCUGGUCCUCCAAUUAUGUAUUUGGGUUUUUUGUUGCCCAUGGGCUUUUGUUGUCCCAUCUGCUGAAAUUUGUCAUCCCAGUAGACCCACGAAAUCACCACCAAAUAUUCAGAUAUCUCUAAGAGCUGAAAUCGGUAGUGACAGAAGGUGACCUUGGCAUUGACUGUGCUGCGCAGAAAAGCAGCAGCCCCGCCCCGGCCUCAGUGAGGGGAGCUGCAGUUUUUAUUUGCUUUUCUUUACCAACAGAAACAGCCCUAGGGAGCCUCACAGGACCUAAGGGAGCAGCUUUGAGUUUCCAAGGCAUGAGAGAGAAAGAAAAGGCAAAAGAAAAUGGAGUGAGAGACUGCAUGAGCUUGGGCAUAGUUUUCUUUGAAAGUGAGUCAGAAACCUUCAGAGGACACUCCCAGGGUGCUGACAUUUCUCUAUCACAUUGCAGAUGUUUCUUAUUUUAUCAUCUGGACAUGGAAGUGCUAAAAUGCACUUCUGUUUUUGUACUUGGUCUCAUUCCUUCAGGCUCACUCACCUUGCUGGGAGGGUUCAAGGUUUCCUAUGAGGCUGCAACUUCCUUUUCCUCCCUUUCUGGCCAUAGCCAAAGGCGCAUGGCAGCCUCUCACGAGGACCGUAUGCCCUCUGCCUUUGAUUGCAAGGUCAAGUAUGGCCUCAUUUGAGUAUUUACUUCGCUGCCAUCAUUAGGGUGUGAGAGGAGUGUGCUCCUGGGCAGCACCCCACAUUUCUGUCCUCAAAUGUCAACACACUUGAAACCAAGCAAGGAAAGUGUUUUGGAAGCUGCCAUCUGUUUGCUUUUUCAACUUGACCUUUGUCUGAAUAACAAGAUUUAUCUGGCUGAGCACAUUUCUUCCUAAUGAGCUAGAGCAGUUAUGUGUGUGUAUUCAAGGAUAGUCAUGUUUUCACUGGUUUUCUUGUUUUGUUUUGUUUUGUUGUUUUUUGUUUUUUUCCCCUGUAGAAAAUAGAAUCUCUUUCAUUUCCACAGCUUUCAUUUUGCUUCCCUAUGUCAACAUUUAUUCCCAGUUCAGGUGCUGUUGCUUCAUGUAUAAAACUAUGCCUCUGAGGUGCGGUUUUUAUUUUUUUAAACUUAAAAUUUUUUUAGUGGUUGCCCUAGAUGUUGCAAUACACAUUUUAAAAAAAGAUUUAUUUAUUUUUUUCAGAGAGCGAGCUUGCGAGCAAGUGGGAGGAGGGGCAGAGGGCGAGAGAGAAUUCUCAAGCAGACUCCCUGCUGAGCACAGAGCCCAAUGUGGGGUUUGAACUCAUGACCCUGAGAUCAGGACCUGAACUGAGAUCAAGAGUUGGACGCUUAACAGACUGAGCCACCCAGGCACCCUGCAAAUCCAAGUUUCUGACCUAUAUCAUGUUUCUUCUGCCUGAAAAACUUCUCUUAAUGUUUCUUGAAAUGCAGAUCUAAGGAAGUCUAUUUCCCGCACUUUUGGAGGAUAAUUUCAGUGGCACAGAAUUUUGGUGCAUUGGGCAGAACUGGAUCCUGAAAAAUUCAUGAAAGAUGCUGAGUACCUACACUGCUUUAAGAAUUUGGAACUGAAUCAUGAAAAGGAAGACAGAAAUAAGAAACUGGGACCCCGAGUAGCCCUGCAGAAACAAAGCAGAACAAAACACCACCACCAAAGGAACGAUACCGUUUUCUGUUGUUGCUGUGGUCUAAUAGCAAAAGUGGAUGCUGGCAGUGCAGGGGCCUGCACCCCAUGCACAUGGCAGCAGGGCAUACACCCAUGCUUCCCCCAUGCAAAGACUACUGGUUCCUGUGAUUUCUUGGCUUGCUUUUGAAACAGGUUGGCCCAACAUCAUUUGUCACCGAGUCCUCCCUUCACAUGUGUCCAUGAUGGGUCUCAACUGCAUUCAUGCUGUCCAUGUUCUUCCCAACACUGGCUAAGCCAGGGCCCGGGUUAAGGUGUAAAGAGAACAAACAUUGGUGAUAAUGUAUUGUGUAAGACCUUUGCAUCUUGUAAAUUUUCUCAUUUUUCUAAAAAGAAAUAAUAAAAUCCUAAACCCCAACAAACCACUUUAUUAUUAAACAAAUCCUGCUGUG